rnacentral:rRNA from 1 species
UGUAAUCUGAAGUCAGGCAAGAGUACGCGCUGAACUUAAGCAUAUCACUAAGCGCAGGAAUUGAAAUAACUAUGAUUGCCUCAGUAACGGCGAGUGAAGCGGCAAGAGCCCAAGAUGAAAAUUGCUGUCCUUUGGACGCGAAGAAUUGUAAUCUAUAGAGCAGUCGCUGACAGAUCCCUUGAAGCUCAAGUGUCCUGGAAUGGACCGCCAUGGAGGGUGAAAGCCCCGUACGGCAUCGAGGAGGUUCUAAGUGGCUGUUUGAAGAGUCGAGUUGUUCGGGACUGCAGCUCUAAGUGGGAGGUAGACUUCUCCUAAGGCUAAAUAACUAUGAGAGACCGAUAGCGAACAAGUAAUGUGAAUGAAAGAUGAAAAAUAUAUUAACUAUCCGUAAGAACUUUGAAUGAAUAAAAGAGAAUUAAAUAGACCUGAAACCGUUGAGGUGGAAGCGAUAGGACGUUUUCAUUUGGGCUCGAGCUGGCAGAGCGGCUUUGCCGUGAGUCUGCUCGUGUUCAAAAAGCAAGAUAGUCUCGGGUCGCGUCAAAGCCUACCGCUGGGCCAGAGCUUCGGCAUCACUCAGUGGGUGGCGGUCGCGGUCGGGGUCGAGGGGCUUCGUGCGAUCUUGCUAAGUUUGAUAUUGUCCUACCGACCCGUCUUGAAACACGGAACAAGGAGUCUAACAAAUACGCGAUUAUGUUGGUGUUUGUAAACCAUGCAUGAGCAAUGAAAGUAAGCGGUGCCAAUCGCAAGAUGCAGCAUCGGCCGAUCGUGCGCCUCUGGCAAAACGUGUUGGCUACGAGCGUAUCUGUUAGGACCCGAAAGAUGGUGAACUACGCUUGGGUAGGAUGAAGCCGGAAGAAAUUCCUGUUGGAGGUCCGAAACGGUACUGACGUGCAAAUCGUUCGUCAAACUUGAGUGUAGGGGCGAAAGACUAAUCGARCCAUCUAGUAGCUGGUUCCCUCCGAAGUUUCUCUCAGGAUAGCAAAGACAGUUAAAGCAGUUUUAUUUGAGGUAAAGAAUAAAUGAUUAGAAGCAUCUGGGAUUUAUUUGUGAUCUCGACUUAGUUCUCAAACUCUAAAUAUUGUAAUAGCUCGGUAUUUCUUAAGUGAAGAUCGAGGCAGAAUGCUUGUCUUUAGUGGGCCAUUUUUGGUAAGCAGAACUGGCGAUGAGGGAUGAACCUAACUCUGAGUUAAGGUGCCAAACUGCACGCGCAUCAGAAACCACGAAAGGGUGUGUUGAUUCAUUUUGACAGCAGGACGGUGGCCAUGGAAGUUGGAACCCGCUAAGGAGUGUGUACAACCUCACCUGCCGAAUGAAUUACCCCGAAAAUUUUUGAUGGCUCUCCAGCGUGCGACCGAUACUCGGACAUUGGCAACGAAAGUCUGAUU